UGGCGCACGGGUGAGUAACACGUAAGUAAUCUACCCUCGGGGUGGGGAAUAACGUCCGGAAACGGACGCUAAUACCGCAUAAUGCAGCGGCACCGCAAGGUGACAGUUGUUAAAGAUUUAUUGCCUGGGGAGGAGCUUGCGGCAGAUUAGCUUGUUGGUAAGGUAACGGCUUACCAAGGCUACGAUCUGUAUCCGGUCUAAGGGGACGGUCGGACACACUGACACUGAAUAACGGGUCAG
rnacentral:rRNA from 1 species